GCCGCCAUGGUGAAAUUGGUAGACACGCUGCUCUUAGGAAGCAGUGCUCAAGCAUCUCGGUUCGAAUCCGACUGGCGGCA
rnacentral:tRNA from 1 species